AUUGAACGCUGGCGGCAGGCCUAACACAUGCAAGUCGAGCGAGCGGCGGACGGGUGAGUAAUGUCUGGGAAACUGCCUGAUGGACGGGGAUAACUACUGGAAACGUUAGCUAAUACCGCAUACCAUCAGAUGUGCCCAGAGGGGAUGAGCUAGUAGGUGGGGUAACGGCUCACCUAGGCGACGAUCCCUAGCUGGUCUGAGAGGAUGACCAGCCACACUGGAACUGAGACACGGCCCAGACUCCUACGGGAGGCAGCAGUGGGGAAUAUUGCGCAAUGGGCGAAAGCCUGAUGCAGCCAUGCCGCGUGUGUGAAGAAGGCCUUCGGGUUGUAAAGUACUUUCAGCGGGGAGGCGUUACCCGCAGAAGAAGCCCCGGCUAACUACGUGCCAGCAGCCGCGGUAAUAC
rnacentral:rRNA from 1 species